rnacentral:rRNA from 1 species
GCUGAUGAAGUACUUCGGUAAUGAAUCUUGGAUCUCUUAGUGGCGGACGGGUGAGUAACGCGUGAGCAACCUGCCUUUCAGAGGGGGAUAACGUUUGGAAACGAACGCUAAUACCGCAUGACAUUAUCUUAUCGCAUGGUAGGAUAAUCAAAGGAGCAAUCCGCUGAAAGAUGGGCUCGCGUCCGAUUAGGUAGUUGGUGGGGUAACGGCCCACCAAGCCGACGAUCGGUAGCCGGACUGAGAGGUUGGACGGCCACAUUGGGACUGAGACACGGCCCAGACUCCUACGGGAGGCAGCAGUAAGGGAUAUUGGUCAAUGGGGGAAACCCUGAACCAGCAACGCCGCGUGAGGGAAGACGGUUUUCGGAUUGUAAACCUCUGUCCUCUGUGAAGAUGAUGACGGUAGCAGAGGAGGAAGCUCCGGCUAACUACGUGCCAGCAGCCGCGGUAAUACGUAGGGAGCGAGCGUUGUCCGGAUUUACUGGGUGUAAAGGGUGCGUAGGCGGCUUGGCAAGUCAGUAGUGAAAUCCAUGGGCUUAACCCAUGAACUGCUAUUGAAACUGUCGAGCUUGAGUGAAGUAGAGGUAGGCGGAAUUCCCGGUGUAGCGGUGAAAUGCGUAGAGAUCGGGAGGAACACCAGUGGCGAAGGCGGCCUACUGGGCUUUAACUGACGCUGAGGCACGAAAGCGUGGGUAGCAAACAGGAUUAGAUACCCUGGUAGUCCACGCUGUAAACGAUGAUUACUAGGUGUGGGUGGACUGACCCCAUCCGUGCCGGAGUUAACACAAUAAGUAAUCCACCUGGGGAGUACGGCCGCAAGGCUGAAACUCAAAGGAAUUGA